UGGCAGUUGAGAUUCAGACCUUGACAGUUGUAACCGAUAGACUGGGCUGGGGCAACGCUGAUGAAAGGCAAAUUCCUGAGAGAAAAAUCACCCAGAUUUUUCAGUGCCUUCUCUAGCUUUCUAGAAGUUGUUAUGAGUGGACCUGACUACCUAGAGAGAGUAAUACAGAAGCUCCGUGCCGAUCACAGCUACCUCAUUACCAUGUUCCUCCAAGAUGGCCGCCCCUGAGGAGAAUCAUCAACUGGGCUUUACGGAAGAGAGAAAUCCAAACGACCAUCAGCAACAAAUGAAAGACUGAAGUUGAAAGUUUCAAGAUUGUCAAGAAUGACGAGUUGGACUUGGUCUAGUUACUUCCACAGCAGCAGGAGGAACAUGUGUGUGACUCAGGAUAACUGGGGAAGCCUUGGCUAGGCUUUCCUCAUGUCAACCUACCACUCAAAGGGAGAAAACCUCCUGAUCAGAGGUGCCCAGAACCCAGGAAAUCCAUAAUUUUUGAAUGCUGGCCGAGGUCUGUGACCUCUGACUGAAUGGUUUCCAAGCUCCGAAUUCCUAGGUGAUGUUUUCAUUUGUUCACACUUGCUGAAGAAGGGAAAGGCUCUCUGAUUUACGUGUAAGCAAAACAAUCUAAACAGUAGGAUAAAAUCAUGUUGGAAUGGAGUUCUGUGUGGAUGCUCCUUUGAACCAAAUCAGUUCCACAACUGACCCUGUCAGGGACAUAUAAAUUUAGCAUUUUGGUGUGGAUACAGAAGACGAGAUUAACACAGAUCAAGUAACAUGGAAAUAAAAAAGGAGACAAUGCUGGAUGAUACAGGGGCAGCCAACAAGAGGAGAAAACCCAAGCAUUGGCAAAUGCCUCAUUAUCCAAAGAACACUGAGGUGUGGAGCAAAACUGUGUUGAAUGAACUGUAGAUGGAAAUUCUCUCCUUCCCACCGAGGAGCCGCUGCAGGUUGCAGACUCCCAGAAUGCCACACUGAGAAGAGGAGGGCUAAAAUUCUAGAGCAGAAUCCCUGGGGCAGCCCCUGCUGAAGAAGGGUGCAUCUGUUGAGAAUCUCAUCACCGCCCCCACCCCGCCCAGCCUUCAAUUUAGAGGAAUUUCUAGUUCACGCAGAAUGAAGACAAGAUCACAUAAGUGAGGACGACGCCCCAUUUACAAGUGUGAUUUGGAAGACUGAAGUGGAAACCUUGGGAAGGUGGGCCUCAGAGUAUGUCAGCUGGGGUCAGACGGGAACAGGAGUCUGGCUCAACACACAUUUAUUGCACUCCUGUUUCAUGCCAAGAAAUGUACCAAAAUCUGGGACUGUGUAACACAGCAAAGGAAAAGACUCAUCUCCAGGAAGCCCCCUUGUCUAGGAAGAGAAAUUGAAUAUCAGCAUAAGGUGGUGAAAAGCUGUGAAGGAGAUGAGUGCCAGGAGUCCAUGGAGGAAGGAUUCUAGCCUGGACAGAGUCUCCAUGAAUUGCAAGGGAAAACAAGUGGUACACUGGUAUUUCUAUUUGAUAACCUGUUCUCUUUGGAAUUCCGGUUAGAAAUCAAAGGCUUACUUGAGUUUUAAUGCUUUCGGGACUUCAAAUGCUUUUCUAUCUUCCUAAUAAUAUAUUAACAUUUUCUGAAGACAACAUAUAUGUGGAAAACAACAUUAUUUACUCAAAUAAUUUUUUUUGAAAAAUGGACCAAAAAAAAAGAAAAACCAACAAAAA
rnacentral:lncRNA from 1 species